rnacentral:lncRNA from 1 species
GGGUAGUGCCUACCACUGGGAGGCCCGGCGCCGGCAGAUGGCUUUGGACCGAAGGAGAUGGCUGAUGGCCCAGCAGCAGCAGGAGCUGCAGCAGAAAGAACAGGAACUGAAGAAUCACCAGGAGGAAGAACAACAAUCGGAGGAAAAACUCCAGCCACAUAAGAAGUUAAAUGUGCCGCAACCACCAGUGGCGAAAUUGUGGACAUCACAGGAGCAACCACAGCCAUCACAGCAGCAGCCAUCAGUGCAGCCACCAUCACAGCCACCACCACAGCCAUCAACAUUGCCACAGGCACAGGUGUGGCCAGGGCCACAGCCACCACAACCACAGCCACCACCUCAGCCAACACAACCAAGUGCUCAAGCCCGUUGUACUCAGCACACCUCCAAAUGCAAUCUCCAGGAUUCCCAAAGGCCAGGUCUCAUGAACCCAUGCCAAUCUAGCCCCAUCAGAAACACUGGGUAUUCACAACUCAAGUCUACCAAUUACAUACAGCAGUGGUGAUCCAGAGAUUGAACCCAGGACCCCAUGGCCAUCCCCAAAAUGCAGAUGAGCAACCACAUCUUCUCAGCAUCCAGCAAUAUCUCCACUCCAAAAGCCACCCACUCUAGAAGAGGAGGCUGCCAGGAAUAAAAUGUAAUUUUUUUCCUGGG